rnacentral:rRNA from 1 species
CACGUAGGGCGCAAGCGUUGUCCGGAAUUAUUGGGCGUAAAGAGCUCGUAGGCGGUCUGUUGCGUCCGCUGUGAAAACCCGGGGCUUAACCCUGGGCUGGCAGUGGAUACGGACAGACUAGAGGUAGGUAGGGGAGAAUGGAAUUCCCGGUGUAGCGGUGAAGUGCGCAGAUAUCGGGAGGAACACCGGUGGCGAAGGCGGUUCUCUGGACCACAACUGACGCUGAGGCGCGAAAGCUAGGGGAGCAAACAGG